UGUCUGUAUGAUAGAAUUUGUAGGCUGGGACGUCUCUUCCUGCAGCACCACACUACUUUAUUCAGAAUGGUUUGAAACAUAUUUGGCCUUUAACAAGUAAACACGCCCCCCUUGUGAUUUGUAUAUUGCAGUAGUCCAUAUUGCGAUUUUGAUAAA